rnacentral:rRNA from 1 species
UGUGUAGGCGGCCGGCUAAGUAGGGUGUGAAAGGCCUCGGCUCAACCGAGGCAUUGCGCUCUAAACUGACUGGCUUGAGUGAGAUAGGGGUGUGCGGAACUUCCAGUGGAGCGGUGAAAUGUGUUGAUAUUGGAAGGAACGCCGGUGGCGAAAGCGGCACACUGGGUCUUGUCUGACGCUGAGACACGAAAGCCAGGGGAGCGAACGGGAUUAGAUACCCCGGUAGUCCUGGCUGUAAACGAUGAGCACUAGUUGGGAGGGGCCUCGGCCCAUCCGAACGCAGCGAAAGCAUUAAGUGCUCCGCCUGGGGAGUAUGGUCGCAAGGCUGAA